rnacentral:rRNA from 1 species
UAAAGAUUCAUCGCUGAUAGAUAGGCAUGCGUUCCAUUAGGCAGUUGGCGGGGUAACGGCCCACCAAACCGACGAUGGAUAGGGGUUCUGAGAGGAAGGUCCCCCACAUUGGUACUGAGACACGGACCAAACUCCUACGGGAGGCAGCAGUGAGGAAUAUUGGUCAAUGGGCGUAAGCCUGAACCAGCCAAGUCGCGUGAGGGAUGAAGGUUCUAUGGAUCGUAAACCUCUUUUAUAAGGGAAUAAAGUGCGGGACGUGUCCCGUUUUGUAUGUACCUUAUGAAUAAGGAUCGGCUAACUCCGUGCCAGCAGCCGCGGUAAUACGGAGGAUCCGAGCGUUAUCCGGAUUUAUUGGGUUUAAAGGGUGCGUAGGCGGCCUUUUAAGUCAGCGGCGAAAGUCUGUGGCUCAACCAUAGAAUUGCCGUUGAAACUGGGAGGCUUGAGUAUGUUUGAGGCAGGCGGAAUGCGUGGUGUAGCGGUGAAAUGCUUAGAUAUCACGCAGAACCCCGAUUGCGAAGGCAGCCUGCCAAGCCAUGACUGACGCUGAUGCACGAAAGCGUGGGGAUCAAACAGGAUUAGAUACCCUGGUAGUCCACGCAGUAAACGAUGAUCACUAGCUGUUUGUGAUACACAGUAA